CCUGGGAAUCUGCCUGGUAGUGGGGGAUAACGUCCGGAAACGGGCGCUAAUACCGCGUACGUCCUACGGGAGAAAGCAGGGGAUCUUCGGACCUUGCGCUAUCAGAUGAGCCCAGGUCGGAUUAGCUAGUAGGUGAGGUAAUGGCUCACCUAGGCGACGAUCCGUAACUGGUCUGAGAGGAUGAUCAGUCACACUGGAACUGAGACACGGUCCAGACUCCUACGGGAGGCAGCAGUGGGGAAUAUUGGACAAUGGGGGCAACCCUGAUCCAGCCAUGCCGCGUGUGUGAAGAAGGUCUUCGGAUUGUAAAGCACUUUAAGUUGGGAGGAAGGGCUUUAGGUUAAUACCCUGAAGUUUUGACGUUACCAACAGAAUAAGCACCGGCUAACUCUGUGCCAGCAGCCGCGGUAAUACAGAGGGUGCAAGCGUUAAUCGGAAUUACUGGGCGUAAAGCGCGCGUAGGUGGUUCAGUAAGAUGGGUGUGAAAUCCCCGGGCUUAACCUGGGAACUGCUUUCAUAACUGCUGAGCUAGAGUACGGUAGAGGGUAGUGGAAUUUCCUGUGUAGCGGUGAAAUGCGUAGAUAUAGGAAGGAACACCAGUGGCGAAGGCGACUACCUGG
rnacentral:rRNA from 2 species